rnacentral:lncRNA from 1 species
GGCUUGAAAAGAGAAGGCAGUAUUCCUUCUUCUCUGUUAAGCAUGGUCUUACCGAGAUGGGUGGCACCUCAUAGCCUACAUAUCCAUGUGAGGCUAGGUCUUCUUGGGGUCCUUCCAUAUGCUUGGGACGUCGAGUCAGUGUGGAAGAUGAUGGUCGAUUUUUGCAUUCUCGAGUAGGUAUCCUCCAAAACUAUGGUUGGAAGAGACCUGAGACCUGGCUGCUUUUGAGAUCCAGGUCUUCUACGAGAGACUUGAGGAUAUUCAUGGUUCAUUAAUGGUAAUGCUGGGGGAUGUGAAGUACCAUAUCAUGAUCAAUAUCCGACAACAUGGCCACCGCCCUUGGAUGUCUCACCUUGUCUUGACUAGGAGGCAGAGUGGCCUCCUCAAGAUCCUUUGUCUUAGCAGGGGCCAACUUCUAUGUCAGGUGAUUCGAGUGCCUCCCAGUUAGUAACCGGUCUUUGUAAUUUGGACAACCUUCACUUGGAGUCAGAGAGCAGGCCAGCAGGGUCUGGUCUAUCAUCAAUGGUGCAGGAUUAGGGGAUUUUGGGGGCUACUCCUUUGCUAUCUAUAGAUAAGGGGAAAAGGGCCUUAGAGUAUCGAUUCCCCAAGUCCAUGUUUGUGGUGGGAGAGAGCUCUCGCUUGGUAGUGGUGGUCUCGGAGCUGGGGACAAUGGUAGAGUUUGCUGCACCCUUGCAUCGGAUUCAUGGAAGCAGUCCACUAGGGGUGAGCUAUGGGGGCUGACCGGGUGCC